AGAGUUUGAUCCUGGCUCAGGACGAACGCUGGCGGCGUGCUUAACACAUGCAAGUCGAACGGAAUCCAUGGUGUAGCAAUACAUCGGAAGAUUUAGUGGCGAACGGGUGAGGAUCACGUGAGAAACGUGCCCCAGACUCUGGGAUAACAAUUGGAAACGAUUGCUAAUACCGGAUGACGUCGGAGAAUCGCAUGGUUCACUGACGAAAGAUAUUUCGGUUUGGGAGCGUCUCGCGGCCUAUCAGCUUGUUGGUGGGGUAAUGGCCUACCAAGGCAACGACGGGUAGCUGGUCUGAGAGGAUGAUCAGCCACACUGGGACUGAGACACGGCCCAGACUCCUACGGGAGGCAGCAGUGAGGAAUCUUGCGCAAUGGGCGAAAGCCUGACGCAGCAACGCCGCGUGCGGGAUGAAGGCCUUCGGGCUGUAAACCGCUUUCAGCAGGAACGAAAAUGACGGUACCUGCAGAAGAAGGAGCGGCCAACUACGUGCCAGCAGCCGCGGUGACACGUAGGCUCCAAGCGUUGUCCGGAUUUAUUGGGCGUAAAGAGCUCGUAGGCGGUUGAGUAAGUCGGGUGUGAAAACUCUGGGCUUAACCCGGAGACGCCAUCCGAUACUGCUCUGACUAGAGUUCAGGANGGGAGUGGGGAAUUCCUAGUGUAGCGGUGNNNUGCGCAGAUANNNNNNNGAA
rnacentral:rRNA from 1 species